rnacentral:lncRNA from 1 species
AGCUUUUUAUAGUCUUCAACAACAACCAGUCCCUACAUUUAAGAAGGUUAAUAACUGAGACAGCCUUCCUGGUGGAUCCAUCAUUUGGCCCAGCUUGUAGAAAGAUUCCCAACUAGCUCUAAUUAGUUCCAUCUUAUUUGGAGGCAGAGGUAUUCCUCAUCAUACCCAUAUCCUCAUAUAAAUUGUCCAGUGCCCUAGGUACCAGGGAGAAAGAAGACGAAGAAGGACAUAUACCAGAAGCACAUUAAUAGGCUGCUGAAAAACUCUGCCACACUUUCAGAUGACAGGUCACCUACAGAUAAAUGAUUCAAGGAUCAACCAAGUUCUGAAGUUUUUUUUUGUUUUUUUUUUUUGGGAUAGAGUCUCACUGUGUCACCCAGGCUGGAGUGCAGUGGCGUGAUCUCAGCUCACUGCAACCUCUGCCUCCCGAGUUCAAG